GCAACAGAUCGAGCAGCAAGCUAGUCGCUAGAGCAGUGUGCGCCGAGUAGAUAUACAGCUACGCUUCCUAUAGGAUACUAUGGCGGCGAAGGACGUGGCGCCGGCGGUGACGCUGAGCAACGGGCAUCACGGCGGCGGGAUGCCGGCGGCGGCGACGAAGCUGAGCAACGGGCACAGCAGGAAGGCGGUGCCGGCGGUGACGCUGAGCAGCGGGCACCGGAUGCCGGCGGUGGGGCUGGGCGUGUGGCGGAUGGAGAAGACGGCCGUGCGCGGCAUCAUCCACGCCGCCAUCCGCAAGGGGUACCGGCAUUUUGACUGCGCCGGUAUGCAUGCGCCUGAGCUCAUCGUCCGUACAUGCAGGAUCCAACAGUCAAUGUGCGUGCUUAUAUAUAGGUUAUUGAUGCGAGCAGGUCACUGAUCGCCUUAGCAAGAAUAGCACGGUCGUUCUACUCGGUAGCCCAAGAUUUCAACCCUUAACGCAUUGCCUGAGCAUCACGUUGCCAUUUCCGUAACAAUAGUUUCGCAAGAAAAAAAAUGUAGAAAUAUUUUUUUCUUUUUAAUAUACAAUGAUGAUCAUAUCUUGUUCUGGUUCUUCUAUGCAUUCGAGAAAAAAAAUUUGUUAAACGUAGAAUUCACACUAAUUUCUAGGUAGAACAAACACUGUUAUUCGUAACAUUAGGUCAUGUUCAUGGGCAUGUCGUAUAUAUGUACGAUGAGCAGGCAGAAUUGUCCACGCUGGUCAGUCACAUUCAGCGCACUGAAUCCGCGCGCUGCAAGUCCGGCGCACACAGGACGACAGGAACCACAACUUGAGCCACGCAUUCGGUCAGAAGAAGAGAAUGUUUGGAUACGAUGUGCUAAACUUUAAUAAUAUCACAUUGGAUAUUCGGAUGCUAAUUAGGAGUAUGAGCUAAUAUAAAACUAAUUGCAAAACACUAUGCUAAUUCACGAGACGAAUCUAGUAAGCCUAAUUAAUCUAGUAAAUGAUUACUGUAUCACCACAUUGUCAAAUCAUGGAUUAAUUAGGCUUAAUAGGUUUGUCUUGCGAAUUAUACUCCGUUUGUGCAAUUAAUUUUAUAAUUAACUUAUAUUUAAUAUUUCUAAUUAGCAUCGAACAUUAGGAGUUAAAUAUUGGUAGGGGUACCUUAGUCUCAUGCAUGCACAUGCAAGGUCCGAUGCUGGCUUUUGCGGGUGACACGUAGCGCUAAGUGUACUUUUUCGACCGGGCCCACAGGACGGCACCUCAGCCCAGUAGGCAGUAGCCCAUGUCCUCCUGCUCGCGCCGCAUCGCUGUGGGCAAGCAACGCACUGCAGCUGUGCGCUCGCAUGCUCUCCGUCCGUCCGCUCUCGUAAUGCUCACCAGUCUUGUGAUUUUUGUUCUCACUAAAGGAACAUAUAUGUUCUGCAGCGUGUUGGACUAAGCGUGCUGGUAGGCCGUUGCUAGCUACCAAAAUGUUUAUCGGGUCAUAUUACAUGUACGUGUUGGCUAUGUUUUUGUUUCGUGCUGUGCAGCAAAAUACCAAAAUGAAGCUGAAGUUGGUGAUGCACUUGAAGAGGCAUUCAAAACUGGGCUUGUCAAGAGGGAGGACCUUUUCAUCACCACCAAGGUUAUCCGGAUCACUAAACCAAUGCUAUCUUUUCUCAUACUUUGAAAAAGUCCACAACGACACUGAAAAUUAUGCUCACUGAACCUGUUAAAAGAGGAUUUAAAGUUUACAUAGCAAAGGAUAAGGGUCAUUCCAACUCUUGAGAAACAUCCAGGAGUCGGGGACUGAAUUUACUCCAAAUAAAAUAUACCAAUGCUGGCUUGCACCAAACCAUGAUUAGCUCUCAGUGGUAACUACGAGUUGUAUCCUCUUAGAUUCAAGUGUGCUACAGCAUUUCAAACCAAUGUACGAAAUAGCGGGCUAUAGCGAGGCUAUAGCGGCGCUAUAGCGUUUGAUGCUAACUGCCGCUACAACAGUGUUGUACUAAUUAACGGGCUAUAGCGGCGCUAUAGCGGGCUAUAGCGGAGCUAUAGCGGUUGAGCACAACUCUACGCUAAAUCUCAUAGCCCGCUAUUUCGUACAUUGUUUCAAACCUUUUCGAAUUGUAACGGUGCAUUUCAAACCUUUUGGACUCUGGUAGACUUUCACCUUGAUACCCAGAUUGUAACUAGCUCAUGGUGCUACGCACUCUCCAUUGUACUGCAGCCUUUCUUUCCUUUUUUUUUGUUCAUCUUCCUUAAACAUGCGACUGAAGGGUCUUCAUUUGUUAUUGCUGUAGCUGUGGAACUCGGAUCAUGGGCAUGUGAUUGAAGCCUGUAAGGAUAGCUUGAAGAAGUUGAAGUUAGAUUAUCUGGAUCUCUAUCUUGUUCACUUCCCAGUGGCUACUAGGCACACUGGUAAUUCCUUGUGCCUUAUUUAAAUAAUAUGGAGCAAGAACAUUUUGUCAUUGGGAGACUCGGUCCUUUUUUGCUUUAUCUGCAGAAGUAGGCUCAGUUGCUAGCGUUAUUGGUGAGGAUGGUGUGCUAGACAUUGACACCACUGUCUCACUGGAAGCAACAUGGCAUGCAAUGGAAGAUCUUGUUAAUAUGGGACUGGUUCGCAGCAUCGGAAUUAGGUGAAAAGUUUAUCGAUGUUACCAUUUCCUACUUGUUUUUGUUGUCUUUGGAAGUUUCAAGAUAUUUAACCUUGAUGUGUUUGGCAUCUUGUGAUUCAUAUGUUAAUGUUGAAAAUUGGUCAUAAUCUCAAGUUACUUGAGCUGAUUCAGGUUCAGAACAACCAGAACAACUGCUUUACAUCUUGCAGCUUCUGGAUCUGUUAUACAUUAUUUGUCAUGGUACAGGAAAGUCAGCUUCACAAAUCUAACUAUUACAGCUAUUUUCGCAGCAACUACGGUGUAUUCCUCACCAGAGACUGCUUGGCCUACGCCAAGAUAAAGCCUGCUGUAAACCAAAUUGAGAUGCACCCUUACUUCCAGCGUGAUUCUCUUGUCAAAUUCUGCCAGAAGCAUGGCAUCUGCGUCACCGCUCACACCCCCUUGGGUGGCUCCACUGCCAACGCCGAGCUGUUCGGCUCGCUCUCAUGCCUCGACGACCCUGUCAUCAAGGUUGUUACUCCAAAAUCUUGAAUCACACUCGUCUUCUUUUCUAAGUUUUAUGCUACAUUUGAGUACGUAUAGCAUCCCAUUUUAGCACGUUGCAUCGUGCGAUCCUGCACCAACUUGCUCGCCGCAAUUCCAUUCCAUGGCAGGAGUUGGCUGAGAAGUACGGCAAGACGCCUGCGCAGCUGGUCCUCCGGUGGGGCCUCCAGAAGAACACGGUGGUGAUCCCCAAGACCUCCAAGGUGGAGAGGCUGCAGGAGAACCUGGAGGUGUUCGACUUCGACAUCUCGGACGAGGACAUGGAGAAGAUGAAGGCCAUCGACAAGAACCACCGCACCAACCAGCCUGCCAAGUUCUGGGGCAUCGACGUGUAUUCUUAGCUUUUCUUGCGCGCGAUCUCAGAUCCUGCUCUGAAAACUUGCUCCAUCCCCAUCCACGUACUGUCUGGAAUAAAAUCGAUAAUUUU
rnacentral:lncRNA from 1 species